rnacentral:sRNA from 1 species
CGAUCGGCCAACGGCAGCGCCAAGAGCCCGGCAGGCGGCGGCGGCAGCGGCGCCUCGUCCACCAACGGCGGGCUGCACUACUCAGAGCCCGAGAGCGGCUGCAGCAGCGACGACGAGCACGAUGUUGGGAUGAGAGUCGGAGCCGAAUACCAAGCUCGGAUCCCUGAAUUUGAUCCAGGCUCCCCGGCGGUCACGAGAUUUCAGCCUGUGCAGGGAUUGGGCGAGAGUUCCGCAUAUGGAGGCACCCUUGUUAGAGCCUCUCGGAGUGGAGCGCAUUUCCUUUUCCCCACCCUGCCCGAGACCCUUCUCAGUUAAGGCUUUGGACCGACUUUGAAAGGGGCCCAUCUUUUUUUUUCCUCCUUACAGUUUGUCAGUUUUUGCCCAGUGCCCAUAUAUUGCGUUUGUGUCUGACCUUGGAUUUGUAUGUUAGAUAUUAAAGAGCUUACUUUUA